GCAUUCUUGGUCCAACGGUAGGAUAAUUGCCUUCCAAGCAAUUGGCCCGGGUUCGACUCCCGGAGGAUGCAC
rnacentral:tRNA from 1 species